UGAAUACGAGACGCUAAGGCGUCGAAGUAGUGUAUGUCAUACUUCCAAGAAAAGCUUGCACUGUCAUAGAUAAAAAACGCCUGUACCAUAACCGACACAGGUGGGUAGGUAGAGUAUACUAAGGGGCGCGAGAUAACUCUCUCUAAGGAACUCGGCAAAAUAACUCCGUAACUUCGGGAGAAGGAGUGCCUUAUUCGUAAGGUUGCAAUAACAAGAUCCAAGCAACUGUUUAUCAAAAACACAGGUCUCCGCUAAGUCGUAAGACGAUGUAUGGGGGCUGACGCCUGCCCAGUGCCAGAAGGUUAAAGAAGUUGGUUAGCAAUUGCGAAGCUGAUAACUGAAGCCCUGGUGAACGGCGGCCGUAACUAUAACGGUCCUAAGGUAGCGAAAUUCCUUGUCGGGUAAGUUCCGACCCGCACGAAAGGCGUAAUGAUUUGGAUACUGUCUCGGAGAGGGGCUCGGUGAAAUAGACUUGUCUGUGAAGAUGCGGACUACCUGCACCAGGACAGAAAGACCCUAUGAAGCUUUACUGUAACUUGAAAUUGAAAUUGGACUUUAUUCGCGCAGUAUAGGUGGGAGGCGUUGAUUAUAAUCUUGUGGGAUUAUUGGAGCCAUCAGUGAGAUACCACUCUUGUAAUGUUAGAUUUCUAACUUUGAAUCAUUAUCUGGUCAAAGAACAGUUUCAGGCGGGCAGUUUGACUGGGGCGGUCGCCUCCUAAACGGUAACGGAGGCGUACAAAGGUUUCCUCUGAACGGUUAGAAAUCGUAUCUAGAGUGUAAAGGCAUAAGGAAGCUUGACUGUGAGACCUACAAGUCGAGCAGGGACGAAAGUCGGUCUUAGUGAUCUGACGGUACUGAGUGGAAAGGCCGUCACUCAACGGAUAAAAGUUACUCUAGGAUAACAGGCUGAUCUCCCCCAAGAGUUCACAUCGACGGGGAGGUUUGGCACCUCGAUGUCGGCUCGUCGCAUCCUGGGGCGGUAGUACGUCCCAAGGGUUGGGCUGUUCGCCCAUGAAAGCGGUACGCGAGCUGGGUUCAGAACGUCGUGAGACAGUUCGGUCCAUAUCCGGUGUAGGCGUUAGAAUAUUGAGAGGAGCCUUCUUUAGUACGAGAGGACCGAGAAGGACAUACCUCUGGUGUACCAGUUAUCGUGCCAACGGUAAACGCUGGGUAGCUACGUAUGGAGUGGAUAACCGCUGAAAGCAUCUAAGUGGGAAGCCCACCUCAAGAUAAGUAUUCUCACC
rnacentral:rRNA from 1 species